rnacentral:lncRNA from 1 species
AAGAUAGUGAAAAAAGUUAUGAUUGAAUUUGAUAUAAAAUACCAUUUAAUACAAAUAAUUUGUUAUAAAAAUAAUUUACUAUAAAAAUAUUUUUUCAAAUUUAAUAAAAAAUAAUUUAUCAUAAUAUUUAAAUAUAAUUUAUUGUAAUAAUUUAUUAUGAUAUUCGAGUAUAAAUAAUAUACAUUAACAAUUUUAUAAUAAAAAUAAUUUAUUGUUAUAUAAUAUAUUGUAUCUACUUAAUUUAGUUUUAACUCAAUUAAUAAUCUUAAUAAAACUUGGAAUUGAACUUUAGAAUAAUACUAUUCCAUCAAAAUGGUAGAAUAGUUUAUCCCAAGAUAUUCCGGGAUAAUAAUGAAUAGCAAGGUUUGACUGGAAUAAAAAUAUUCUGAUAAAAAAAAUCUCAUUUGGCAGAAUAGCGGGAAUAACAUUCGUUAUCCUGACUUUAUCUCCGAACUAAACU